rnacentral:rRNA from 1 species
UACGUAGGGGGCUAGCGUUGUCCGGAAUCAUUGGGCGUAAAGCGCGCGUAGGCGGCCAGAUAAGUCCGGUGUGAAAGUCAAAGGCUCAACCUUUGAAUGCCGCUGGAAACUGUCUGGCUUGAGUCCGGAAGGGGCGAGUGGAAUUCCUGGUGUAGCGGUGAAAUGCGCAGAUAUCAGGAAGAACACCCGUGCUAAGGCGGCUCUCUAGUACGGUACUGACGCUGAGACGCGAAAAGCGUGGGGAGCGAACGG